rnacentral:rRNA from 1 species
UACGUAGGGUCCGAGCGUUGUCCGGAAUUAUUGGGCGUAAAGGGCUCGUAGGCGGUUUGUCGCGUCGGGGAGUGAAAACACGGGGCUUAACCCCGUGCCUGCUUCCGAUACGGGCAGACUAGAGGUAUGCAGGGGAGAACGGAAUUCCUGGUGUAGCGGUGAAAUGCGCAGAUAUCAGGAGGAACACCGGUGGCGAAGGCGGGUCUCUGGGCAGUAACUGACGCUGAGGAGCGAAAGCGUGGGGAGCGAACAGG